AGGAACCCUACCUGGCAGAUAGAGCCCUUAUGCCCUCCAUGGCAACUCCACUGUUCAGAGGCUUUCAGAGAUGUGGAUUUAGGCCAUAAUGAUGUAUUUAAAACAGGCCACGCAAUGACAGCGGCUCGUCACCUCUCUUGGUCACUGGCGCAGUUAAAACCAGCAGUGUAGAAGUAAAAAGAAAAGACCUGCUUGUGCCAUUAGUGGCACUGUCAUCCACUGACUCUUUCAGCUGGUUCUCUUUUACCACUUUUCAGCAAACACUUGAGGCUCAGCUCCAGGGGUUCCCAUGCUGAUAGGAUAUCAAUAAAACCUGCUAGCGCUCCUUAAAGUUAGGCAGGAGGGAUGCCGUAGGCUCCUGAACAGCGUUUUGAUAAAUGGAUCACAGUCUUGCCCAGAAGAACAUCUAGGCUUCUGUUCCCAGCUUCCCAAACAGCUCUGCCAAUGUACCUCUGCUUUCCCCUGAGUUCAAGAUGAGAUCCUGCUGCAAAUCACCUGUCUGUGGUAGAACAGUUGCUCCCGUGGAGGCACCUGAGUUGUUUUAAACGUGUAACUUGAUGAAAAUACAAGUGGAAGACCAUAGAGGGAGGCAGCAAGUGCUGUAAUGAACUGCCAGAUAUGUCACUGUUCACUACAAGAUCUGCUUAACUCACUUACUGCCACUCAGAGAUCUUCACCAUCUCCUGUCUGCAGGCAGAACAGAUGCUCCUGUUCCUCUCUUGUCCUUUCCCAGAGAGAUGCCUUCUAUGGUUUAGCA